UACGGGGGGAGCAAGCGUUGUUCGGAUUUACUGGGCGUAAAGGGCGCGUAGGCGGCCUGUGCAAGUCAGUUGUGAAAUCUCCGGGCUUAACUCGGAACGGUCAACUGAUACUGCUCGCCUAGAGUGCGGAAGGGGCAACUGGAAUUCUUGGUGUAGCGGUGAAAUGCGUAGAUAUCAAGAGGAACACCUGCGGCGAAGGCGGGUUGCUGGGCCGACACUGACGCUGAAGUGCGAAAGCUAGGGGAGCGAACGGG
rnacentral:rRNA from 1 species